rnacentral:rRNA from 1 species
UAUUGCACAAUGGGGGAAACCCUGAUGCAGCGACGCCGCGUGAGUGAAGAAGCGUUUCGGCGCGUAAAGCUCUGUCAGCGGGGAAGAAAAACGGUUCGCGAGAGCCGCGGACGGUACCCGACCAAGAAGCCCCGGCUAACUACGGGCCAGCAGCCGCGGUAAUACGUAGGGGGCAAGCGUUAUCCGGAUUCACUGGGUGUAAAGGGAGCGUAGACGGUGAUGCAAGUCAGAAGUGAAAGCCCGGGGCUCAACUCCGGGACUGCUUUUGAAACUGUGUGACUGGAGUGCAGGAGAGGUAAGCGGAAUUCCUGGUGUAGCGGUGAAAUGCGUAGAUAUCAGGAGGAACACCAGUGGCGAAGGCGGCUUGCUGGACUGUAACUGACGUUGAGGCUCGAAAGCGUGGGGAGCAAACAGG